UGCCAGAGAAUGGGUCUCGAGUACCGU
rnacentral:piRNA from 1 species